CAAAAGAAUAAACCAUUGGGGGAACAUUACAGUGCCAAAUUUCCUUCCAGCCCUCCCUGCUCCCGUCAGGACUACUACUGGUGUCCAUGCUAUGAAAUCCUUCCCCACACGAGGAGCGGGUCUUAGCUUCUGAAUCUCAACUACAUCCACUGAUUGUGUUGUUGACGAAGAGGUUGGACCAGAAGGAUUUGAAGACCCCAAAGACUUUGUUGAGGCAGACAAGCAGACCUUUGCCCAUGUCUAUGAAACCUUUUGGCAUGGCAUAUAUAACUUAGUUUGUUGCAUGGAGUCAUGAUGAAAUGGUAACCACCUUGGUGGGUUGCCUCCGAUGCUUUCCUCGUUAAUACUUGCAUUGACAUGACUCUACUCUGUGCUUAGAGUUGUGCGGGGGGAGAUAUAUAGGAUCCUAGUAGAUGCUACAAAAGUGGGAUGGGAAUAUGCAUGGUGUUGGGAAGAAAAGGUUUCAAAGAGUUUUCUAAAGCCCCAUUGGGUGCCACUAAUGCGUGAGGGAGAUGGUGUUGGCUAGGUAACCACUUGAGAAAGAAGUGGUGUAUGAGAGCAAGUUGUG